rnacentral:rRNA from 1 species
UGAGGAAUAUUGGUCAAUGGGCGAGAGCCUGAACCAGCCAAGUAGCGUGCAGGAUGACGGCCCUAUGGGUUGUAAACUGCUUUUAUGUGGGGAUAAAGUGCGUGACGUGUCAUGCAUUGCAGGUACCACAUGAAUAAGGACCGGCUAAUUCCGUGCCAGCAGCCGCGGUAAUACGGAAGGUCCGGGCGUUAUCCGGAUUUAUUGGGUUUAAAGGGAGCGUAGGCUGUCUAUUAAGCGUGUUGUGAAAAUUUACCGGCUCAACCGGUGGCUUGCAGCGCGAACUGGUCGACUUGAGUAUGCAGGAAGUAGGCGGAAUUCAUGGUGUAGCGGUGAAAUGCUUAGAUAUCAUGACGAACUCCGAUUGCGCAGGCAGCUUACUGUAGCAUAACUGACGCUGAUGCUCGAAAGUGCGGGUAUCAAACAGG